rnacentral:rRNA from 1 species
GGGGAUCGUAAGACCUUGCGUUAAUGGAGCGGCCGAUAUCUGAUUAGCUUGUUGGUGAGGUAAAGGCUCACCAAGGCGACGAUCAGUAGCUGGUUUGAGAGAACGACCAGCCACACUGGAACUGAGACACGGUCCAGACUCCUACGGGAGGCAGCAGUGGGGAAUUUUGGACAAUGGGGGCAACCCUGAUCCAGCCAUUCCGCGUGAGUGAAGAAGGCCUUCGGGUUGUAAAGCUCUUUCGCAAGGGAAGAAAACUUAUGAUCGAAUAAAUCAUGAGGUUGACGGUACCUUGAUAAGAAGCACCGGCUAACUACGUGCCAGCAGCCGCGGUAAUACGUAGGGUGCGAGCGUUAAUCGGAAUUACUGGGCGUAAAGCGUGCGCAGGCGGUUUUGUAAGUCGGAUG